CCUUUUCGCCUCUCCUCGUUCUCUCCCUCGCCUUUCCUUUCCUUUCUCUUCCUCUCUUCCUCGCUCCUCGGUCUCGGCGCUCUCCCAGCUUUUCUUCUCCUGGCUCCUGGUUCCCCGCUACGCCACCAGUCCACUCACCUCUCUCCUUGCCCUACUCCCUCCGCUACUCCCUGACGCCCCCUGCAGCCCCCAGCCCCCCUGCAGGCCCCAGCCCCAGUAAGUUUGGAGAGGGGAACAAAUGCUGAGCCUAGGUAGGGACCACCUUGGGGAGGAAGCCAAAAUCACACUGCUCACCCGAGAGCCCCUGCCCCGCGCUGGCACGCCCCCGCCUGGAGUGCACUCGUGGCCCCGGGCGCUGUCAGGUACCCGAAUUGGGGUAAGCGAGUUGGUAACUGGACCUCCAAAGCCUUCCCCUGGGGUUGACUUUGGAAUUGUUCCUACAGCCCGGGGACUGGUGGUUGGGGUGGGAAGAGGACCACCACCACCAAGGGUGACUUUGAGGGAGACUAGAGCGCGGCCCCCCGACAGCUGUGGGGGAGCGGGGGUGUGGUGGCCACAGUUGAUCCGCGGCACCUAGCACAGUCCAGAGACGCGUGGAUUCCCCUAGGCCCGGCGCGGAGCGCCCGGGGCGCUGUGCGCGCGGGCUGCGUGGGAGCUGCUAGGCUGGGGCCUGGCCCUCUGCCCCGGACUGGGCACUGCCAGAGAUAGCGGAGAGCUAAGGUACUCACGAGGCGCAGUUGGGUGCACCCACUCGCGGGAGUUCCCCUAGCCGACCCACCCCCCCCCCCCGAGAGCAUCCAACUACGCGCCCACUUUGGCUCACGUCCACUGCCACUCUCACGGAAACUCCUACAAGAACGGCACACACGUUCGCUCCCUCAGCAUUGCAAACACGCUCCCCCCCAAACCACAAACGCGCCCCCACACACUCGCUUACUUUCCCUCACAAAGAUGCCCGCUUACACGGCCACAGCAGGCACGCUCAGAGACACGCAGUUACACACACACAUCGCUGUACACAACCCCACAUACAAUCAAAAAACAAAACACGAAACGUUCCCCUGGGCACUAAAUCCUCACGUUAACGUACACACACAAACACACGCCCUCCUCUCCCACUUCCUCUUCCAUACCCCUUCCUCGAGGCCCCCCACCCCUGAUUUUCGGCACCCCCAGUCCCAAUCAUAAUUGGCGCCCGCGCAGCCCUCUUUGGACACACACGCGCCGCCCACGCACGCGCUCCCCUCCCCGGCAGGCGGGGGCGGCUUCGGCCGGGAGCCGGCGGAGCCCGCUUCGGAUUCCAGGUGUGGCAGUGACUCCGCGCUCCACGUUUUGCAGGCUGCCACCGUGUCGGAGGCGAGGCGAGGAAGGGAGCUGGAAUAACAAAGGGAGGUAAUGGGGUAGAUUGGAUACCUCUGGGGUCUUGGAAGAAGCUAUGACUUAUUUACUGUCUACUAUGUGGUGGAUGGUGUUUGAAGUGAAUUGAAUUAGGGGACACCCAGCUGGCAUCUGCUGCAGAACUGAUGACUCGCUUGCUGGUGGGCAGAAAUCUCCAUAAUCUUUCUUUAGCAGAUGAGGUCACUGAGGCUCAGAGAGGCUGAAGCCACUUGCUCAGAGCCGCACAGCAAGCCCACCACCCUGAACCUCCAGAUUACCAACUCAGCAUUGUGUCCUGACAGUGUCAUCAUAGAUGGUCAACACCGUCACCUGGGCAGCACUGAAGCCCAGAGCGGGAGAGACUGGCUCAAGACCAUGGCCUCUCCUGGUCUGACAGUCUCAGAUGCAGUCAUGGAUGGCUUUCUGGAGGAGGUGGUACCUGGUCUGUGGGAAGUAGGGGUCAGCAUCCUGGUCUCUGGGAGCAUCUGCUCCAGAUGGUUUCCCUGGGGCCCCCAGAAGCAGGUGUUUGCGCUAACAGCUCUGCAAGCAGAGAGCUUCAGUGCAUGGCCCUUCUUGCCCUUGUUCCCAGGCACAUGCUGUUCCCCUGGGGCUGAAUACCCCACUUACUUGUAAAUCCCAGUGCUCUCCUGUUCAUUCUGCAGUGCCAGCACAAGUCUCCUCCUUGGGGAAGGCUUUCUGGACUUCCCAGCCCACUGGCCAUUGUUCCGUCUUGCAGGUGCCCCCUCAGGGUGCCUGCUGUAACCGUCACUCACAUAUCUCCCCCACCCAACAGAGGGCCUUGCUUUUGGUCCUGGACCUGCACCUUUGACUGUAUUCUUAGUGAUUUGUCCAAGCCCACCCUGGGAGAUAGGGGCGGUGCCAGGCUAGCACCCAGUUCUCCUGGGUUCUCUGAGAAAGUUCCUACCUUCUUCCCUGGCUCACAAGUAGUACUUAAGCAGUUUUGGUUGUUAAAGAAAAUACUGAAUUUAUUCUUCCAACCACUCAUAUAUAUAUAUAAAUCAGUGUUAUUGAGAAACAAUUUACAAAAUGCACCCAUUUUCACUGUACAGUUCAGUGAAUUUUAACAGGUGUGUACAGUGGUGUAAACACUGCCACACCCAAGAUAUCACACAUUUCCAUCACCCCUCAAAAUCUCCUCAUACCCCUUCCUGAUCAAUCCCUCUUCCUGCCUCAGGCAACAUUUGAUUUGAUUUUAUCAAUAUCGAUUAGUUUUGCAUGUUCUAGAAUGUCCUAUAAAUUGUGAUUAGGCAGUAUGUACUUUCUGUGUAGUGCCAUGCAUGUUGUAUCUUGCAUGAGUAGUUCGGCCCUUUGCAUUGCUGGGUAGUAUUCUGGAGAAUGGACAUUCCACAAUUUGUUUAUCUGUUCACCAAUUGAUAGAAUUUGGGUUAUUUCCAGUUUGGGGAUUUUAUGAAUAAAGCUGCUAUGAACAUUCAUGUGAACAUGUUUUCAUUUACCUUGGGCUAAUGCCUGGAACUGGUAUUGUUGUAUUGUCAGGGUAAGUA
rnacentral:lncRNA from 1 species